rnacentral:rRNA from 1 species
GACGAACGCUGGCGGCGCGCCUAACACAUGCAAGUCGAACGGAGUCAAGAGGAGCUUGCUUUUCUUGACUUAGUGGCGAACGGGUGAGUAACGCGUGAGUAACCUGCCCUGGAGUGGGGGACAACAGUUGGAAACGACUGCUAAUACCGCAUAAGCCCACGGAUCUGCAUGGAUCUGCGGGAAAAGGAUUUAUUCGCUCUAGGAUGGACUCGCGUCCAAUUAGCUAGUUGGUGAGGUAACGGCCCACCAAGGCGACGAUUGGUAGCCGGACUGAGAGGUUGAACGGCCACAUUGGGACUGAGACACGGCCCAGACUCCUACGGGAGGCAGCAGUGGGGGAUAUUGCACAAUGGGGGAAACCCUGAUGCAGCGACGCCGCGUGGAGGAAGAAGGUUUUCGGAUUGCAAACUCCUGUCGUUAGGGACGAUAAUGACGGUACCUAACAAGAAAGCACCGGCUAACUACGUG